UGCCAUCCAUGCUUGCUGUUGCAUCCUGCAUCAUAUAAAUUCGCGAUAGUUUGCAUUAUCACCUAAUAUGGAACAUAUGGAAUAUGUGGGAUAUUAUAUAUAUGUUGUCCCGAUUCCAUUUAACUUUGUUGUAGCUCACCCCUGCCAUGUUUGCUAUGCUAAUCCACCCUUAAAUUUGCCGGUAGAAAAUGCAACUCCAACCCUAACUUGUUUGUCCGGGGUUCCGAUUAAUAUGGAUAAGUUGCACCGCAUCAUCCUUGCCAUGUCAUGCAUAUCAUCUUGAGCAUGCUGGUUCUUUAUCCAUAGUAGUAAGACUUGCAUACGUUGUGUGUUCCAGCAUUUGCUUCUUCCCGGAUAGGAUCACGAAGUGGUGAUGUGAGAUACGACGAGUUCUCCGACAAGUUCUUCUGCAGCUUUUCAAAGGCGAGCCCACCCCUUCACCUAUUUUACUUUUACAUGCUCUUUUGAUCUAUUGCUAUCCUUGUGUUGCGAUUCUGUUGUGUCACGUGUCCUAUCCACCUGUUACCUAUAUGUCCGAGAUACACCUCCUCGCCCUACCUAUUGUUUGUUGUUUGCCAGCUUUGCGAGUCGUAGGCGAGUUUAGGGUCUUGUUGAUAUCUCGAGAUGUUCGGGAUAUCUUGUUGGGAGGUUAUCACAUGCUAUAUCUUUUGUUGGAGAUAAUCACACUUUAUUUUAUUGUUAACAACUAAAAUUGUAAGCAGAGGCAUCUGUGAGCCCCUUUGCGAAAGCAUCGGAACUUUGACUCGCUAAUGUCCCCUAGGACCCGAGUUCUUGUUAUCUGUUCCGAGAUUGAGCGCUCUACCCGUACGUGGGGGAGUGGGACCCCCAUCACCCACUACCUUUCCUCGAGUCUGUUUAUUGGGAGCCACAACCUUGGUUUUAUUUGCUCAUAUGCACGAUGCACGAUUUACUUCUGUUGCCUUCGGGUGUUUAUUUCUGUACUGUACUCAUCUCGUGGAACGAUUAGCGACAGCAGGUUGUUCACACUUAGCUUAGCCGUUGGCACAAACCUCUGGGUCCGUAUCGGAGUACGGCCGGACUUCGUCACGGGUAGCUUAGUUGGGUGGCUCCCAUUAAACUUUCUCUUGCAUUGGGAACGGUCUUGAUGUGAGACUCCACCUGUAGUAAGUGGGUUCGAGCAUGCGUAUGGUUACAUUUGGGCAACCCCUGCAGGGUGUACAUCUUAUCGAUAAGCCGUGUCCGCGGUUAUGGACGACUUGGAAUUGUAUAGCUUGAUCAUAGAACAACUUACACCGUUAUCUUGUUGCUAAUAAUCUGAUAAUAACUUGCGUAGUAAUAUAGCCUUACUACCACCGUUACCCAAUAAAACUUGUCCACCGUUGAGUGCCUUUUACAUUGCCUCUUCGCAAUUGUUGGAGGGGAUAUGUGUAAUCGGCUGGGUUAUGUUUGUGUAGUAUUUAUCUGUUACUUUGUGCGCUCUCUUAUCUUCUCUGAGUAGACGGAUGUUGUAGCGUGUCUCUAUUGGAUAGUAGCUUUGCUGCCGCUAAACUCCACAUAUAGCCGGGUGAAGUUUAUACCGCCCACCAGCGAGCAUAGCUGGUCUUGUCUCGCAAGUACGUGCCAAUGGUACUUACCCUCGCCUUCCUUUCUUUUUGUCUCCUCCCCCUUUUGUCGGCAACCGAUGGCCCGACUUUGGCAGGUACGAGAUGACGACGUUAGCAAGGUUACCCUUCCGGCUUGGCCUGGGCAGGGUUAUGGACGCCACUGGUUAUCUUCAGGACUCUUAUCCCAAUUUGUAUCUUGUCCGUACUCGGACGUAUUUGAUCUUCUGUAUGACUUGGAUCUUUGUAUGUAUCUAUUUGUAUCUUGACUCGUUGGAGUCGUUGAUGUAAUA